AUACUUACCUAGUAUGGGGAUCCCGUGAUCAUGCAGGCGGUUCCCCGGGGUGCGGCUGCUCCAUUGCACUGCGGAGUUGUUGACCCUUGCGAUUAUUUUUAUAUUUUACAAGUUUCACUUCUAGUACUUCUACCGCGUGUGACUUGCACACACACACACACACA
rnacentral:snRNA from 9 species